rnacentral:lncRNA from 10 species
GAGGCAAACAAAGCUGUCCUCGGGCAGGGUGUGACACAGGUUUCUUCUUGUCUUGAGGAUGAGUGAAGAAGCCCACAGCCACAUGGGUAUUUUCGCAGCUUCCCAUGGGGGAAAGGCUGACCCUGGAUAGGUCUCAAGUAAACAGAAGACACGAGAAGGUCACUGCACUCCCUGUGCAUCUGAUGGCAGGAGAAUUUAAUUUUAGGAUUUGGGAAGAAGGAAUUAUUGUUAAGUAUCUCAGAAGAAUCAAGAUUUGGGAGCAGGAAGUGAAGACUUAUCCAAAUUAAAGAUUGUGCUAAUUUAUUACAACCAUGUAUACUGAAAACAAGCAUGUUGGGGAAGAUUAACGAGCAAGAAUUGAAAUCAUUCACGAAGAGAAGCUUUGGACUAAAACCCAUCUGCCAGAUAAGCCAAUAAAUGUCCCUCUCAUCAAGUGAUUGGGACUGGGAUGGAGCUGGAAUUUGGCCCUAAUGUUGCAUGUGUAAAGAAGAUGGAGAUAUGUCAAGAAGACACAG